rnacentral:rRNA from 1 species
UUGGUGUUACUGCGAAGGGGGGACGGAGAAGGCUAUGUUGGCCGGGCGACGGUUGUCCCGGUUUAAGCGUGUAGGCUGGUUUUCCAGGCAAAUCCGGAAAAUCAAGGCUGAGGCGUGAUGACGAGGCACUACGGUGCUGAAGCAACAAAUGCCCUGCUUCCAGGAAAAGCCUCUAAGCAUCAGGUAACAUCAAAUCGUACCCCAAACCGACACAGGUGGUCAGGUAGAGAAUACCAAGGCGCUUGAGAGAACUCGGGUGAAGGAACUAGGCAAAAUGGUGCCGUAACUUCGGGAGAAGGCACGCUGAUAUGUAGGUGAAGUCCCUCGCGGAUGGAGCUGAAAUCAGUCGAAGAUACCAGCUGGCUGCAACUGUUUAUUAAAAACACAGCACUGUGCAAACACGAAAGUGGACGUAUACGGUGUGACGCCUGCCCGGUGCCGGAAGGUUAAUUGAUGGGGUCAGCGCAAGCGAAGCUCUUGAUCGAAGCCCCGGUAAACGGCGGCCGUAACUAUAACGGUCCUAAGGUAGCGAAAUUCCUUGUCGGGUAAGUUCCGACCUGCACGAAUGGCGUAAUGAUGGCCAGGCUGUCUCCACCCGAGACUCAGUGAAAUUGAACUCGCUGUGAAGAUGCAGUGUACCCGCGGCAAGACGGAAAGACCCCGUGAACCUUUACUAUAGCUUGACACUGAACAUUGAGCCUUGAUGUGUAGGAUAGGUGGGAGGCUUUGAAGUGUGGACGCCAGUCUGCAUGGAGCCGACCUUGAAAUACCACCCUUUAAUGUUUGAUGUUCUAACGUGGACCCGUGAUCCGGGUUGCGGACAGUGUCUGGUGGGUAGUUUGACUGGGGCGGUCUCCUCCUAAAGAGUAACGGAGGAGCACGAAGGUUGGCUAAUCCUGGUCGGACAUCAGGAGGUUAGUGCAAUGGCAUAAGCCAGCUUGACUGCGAGCGUGACGGCGCGAGCAGGUGCGAAAGCAGGUCAUAGUGAUCCGGUGGUUCUGAAUGGAAGGGCCAUCGCUCAACGGAUAAAAGGUACUCCGGGGAUAACAGGCUGAUACCGCCCAAGAGUUCAUAUCGACGGCGGUGUUUGGCACCUCGAUGUCGGCUCAUCACAUCCUGGGGCUGAAGUAGGUCCCAAGGGUAUGGCUGUUCGCCAUUUAAAGUGGUACGCGAGCUGGGUUUAGAACGUCGUGAGACAGUUCGGUCCCUAUCUGCCGUGGGCGCUGGAGAACUGAGGGGGGCUGCUCCUAGUACGAGAGGACCGGAGUGGACGCAUCACUGGUGUUCGGGUUGUCAUGCCAAUGGCACUGCCCGGUAGCUAAAUGCGGAAGAGAUAAGUGCUGAAAGCAUCUAAGCACGAAACUUGCCCCGAGAUGAGUUCUCCCUGACCCUUUAAGGGUCCUGAAGGAACGUUGAAGACGACGACGUUGAUAGGCCGGGUGUGUAAGCGCAGCGAUGCGUUGAGCUAACCGGUACUAAUGAACCGUGAGGCUUAACCUU